UACGUAGGCAGCGAGCGUUGUUCGGAGUUACUGGGCGUAAAGAGUGCGUAGGCGGUGCUCUAAGUUUGGUGUGAAAUCUCCCGGCUCAACUGGGAGGGUGCGCCGAAAACUGGAGUGCUCGAGUAUGGGAGAGGUAAGCGGAAUUCCUGGUGUAGCGGUGAAAUGCGUAGAUAUCAGGAGGAAUACCGGUGGCGAAGGCGGCAUCCUGGACCAUUACUGACGCUGAAUCGCGAAAGCUAGGGGAGCAAACAGG
rnacentral:rRNA from 1 species